UGUAUUUGACGAUCUGAACAUGGAGGUAGAAUUCUGAAGGAGCGAGGAAUUCAUUGAAAUUUGUGAUUUUGCUGCUCGUUUUAACGCCAUACAUUGUCUCAAGGUCUUCUGCUCUUGAUUAACUAUGGCGCUCAUGCUAAUGGCGGACUAUGAAGCAAGACUGGCUUUGAGAAGAGAAAGACUGUUUCGGGACAGGCAAAUCUUGUUGGAUACACUCCUUGACCAUAGAGCCACCAUGCACUGAUGAAGAAGUCUGGAGAAGAUUCACGCAGCUUGCGAUCACCCAACUGUUAGAAAGGGUUGGUCAACAGAUACAACCUCCAUCACAGAGAUCUGUUUCUCUUGGGUCACGCGACUGGUUUAUCUAUCACCCAUAGGGAGAUGGCACUCCAUAGAACCAAAGAAUCCAUCCAAGUAAGGUAAGCUAGACUUCCCCAAGUCAACUCAUU